rnacentral:rRNA from 1 species
UAUAAGAUGGGCAUGCGUGUGAUUAGAUAGUUGGUGAGGUAACGGCUCACCAAGUCAACGAUCAUUAGGGGUUCUGAGAGGAAGGUCCCCCACACUGGUACUGAGACACGGACCAGACUCCUACGGGAGGCAGCAGUGAGGAAUAUUGGUCAAUGGGCGAGAGCCUGAACCAGCCAAGUCGCGUGAAGGAAGAAGGUUCUAUGGAUUGUAAACUUCUUUUGCAGGGGAAUAAAGUGAGGUACGUGUACCUUAUUGUAUGUACCUUGCGAAUAAGGAUCGGCUAACUCCGUGCCAGCAGCCGCGGUAAUACGGAGGAUCCGAGCGUUAUCCGGAUUUAUUGGGUUUAAAGGGUGCGUAGGCGGGAAAUUAAGUCAGUGGUGAAAGUUUGCAGCUCAACUGUAAAAUUGCCAUUGAAACUGAUUUUCUUGAGUGUAAAUAAGGUAGGCGGAAUGUGUUGUGUAGCGGUGAAAUGCAUAGAUAUAACACAGAACACCAAUUGCGAAGGCAGCUUACCGGGCUACAACUGACGCUGAGGCACGAAAGCGUGGGGAUCAAACAGGAUUAGAUACCCUGGUAGUCCACGCCGUAAACGAUGAUAACUAGCUGUCGGCGAUACACAGUCGGUGGCCAAGCGAAAGCGAUAAGUUAUCCACCUGGGGAGUACGACCGCAAGGUUGAAACUCAAAGGAAUUGACGGGGGCCCGCACAAGCGGAGGAACAUGUGGUUUAAUUCGAUGAUACGCGAGGAACCUUACCCGGGCUCGAACGGUGCAGGAAUAUGGUAGAGAUGUCAUAGCUAGCAAUAGUCUGUAUCGAGGUGCUGCAUGGUUGUCGUCAGCUCGUGCCGUGAGGUGUCGGGUUAAGUCCCAUAACGAGCGCAACCCCUAUCGUUAGUUGCCAUCAGGUCAUGCUGGGGACUCUAGCGAGACUGCCACCGUAAGGUGUGAGGAAGGGGGGGAUGACGUCAAAUCAGCACGGCCCUUACGUCCAGGGCUACACACGUGCUACAAUGGCCGGUACAGAGGGCAGCCAUCCCGCGAGGGAGAGCAAAUCUCAAAAGCCGGUCUCAGUUCGGAUCGGAGUCUGAAACUCGACUCCGUGAAGUUGGAUUCGCUAGUAAUCGCGCAUCAGCCAUGGCGCGGUGAAUACGUUCCCGGGCCU